rnacentral:rRNA from 1 species
GGAUGUUAGCGGCGGACGGGUGAGUAACACGUGGGUAACCUGCCUGUAAGACUGGGAUAACUCCGGGAAACCGGAGCUAAUACCGGAUAGUUCCUUGAACCGCAUGGUUCAAGGAUGAAAGACGGUUUCGGCUGUCACUUACAGAUGGACCCGCGGCGCAUUAGCUAGUUGGUGGGGUAAUGGCUCACCAAGGCGACGAUGCGUAGCCGACCUGAGAGGGUGAUCGGCCACACUGGGACUGAGACACGGCCCAGACUCCUACGGGAGGCAGCAGUAGGGAAUCUUCCGCAAUGGACGAAAGUCUGACGGAGCAACGCCGCGUGAGUGAUGAAGGUUUUCGGAUCGUAAAGCUCUGUUGUUAGGGAAGAACAAGUGCGAGAGUAACUGCUCGCACCUUGACGGUACCUAACCAGAAAGCCACGGCUAACUACGUGCCAGCAGCCGCGGUAAUACGUAGGUGGCAAGCGUUGUCCGGAAUUAUUGGGCGUAAAGGGCUCGCAGGCGGUUUCUUAAGUCUGAUGUGAAAGCCCCCGGCUCAACCGGGGAGGGUCAUUGGAAACUGGGAAACUUGAGUGCAGAAGAGGAGAGUGGAAUUCCACGUGUAGCGGUGAAAUGCGUAGAGAUGUGGAGGAACACCAGUGGCGAAGGCGACUCUCUGGUCUGUAACUGACGCUGAGGAGCGAAAGCGUGGGGAGCGAACAGGAUUAGAUACCCUGGUAGUCCACGCCGUAAACGAUGAGUGCUAAGUGUUAGGGGGUUUCCGCCCCUUAGUGCUGCAGCUAACGCAUUAAGCACUCCGCCUGGGGAGUACGGUCGCAAGACUGAAACUCAAAGGAAUUGACGGGGGCCCGCACAAGCGGUGGAGCAUGUGGUUUAAUUCGAAGCAACGCGAAGAACCUUACCAGGUCUUGACAUCCUCUGACAACCCUAGAGAUAGGGCUUUCCCUUCGGGGACAGAGUGACAGGUGGUGCAUGGUUGUCGUCAGCUCGUGUCGUGAGAUGUUGGGUUAAGUCCCGCAACGAGCGCAACCCUUGAUCUUAGUUGCCAGCAUUCAGUUGGGCACUCUAAGGUGACUGCCGGUGACAACCGGAGGAAGGGGGGGAUGACGUCAAUCAUCAUGCCCCUUAUGACCUGGGCUACCACCUGCUACAUGGACAGACCAAGGCUGCAGAACCGCAGGGUUAGCCAUCCCUAAAUCUGUUUCAGUUCGGAUCCAGCUGCACUCAAUGCGGGAACUGGAAUCCUAAAAUCCG